AUUGUGAUACUGCUGAAAAGAAACCUGAAUUACGGGAAAGUCGGGUAUCUCUUGUAUAGAUUAUCAGACUAAUUAUCAGCCCGUGGAAAUAAAGCACGCAUGCAGAACUUCCGAAGUAAAGCUUAACAGUUCGAUGUAUGCUGCUCCCAGGAAGACCAACGUAGUUUUUUGCAGAGACAUAAAAUAGCUAUUUGAGCAUGUGAUGACCUAACGUGUCAUACCACUUUCAGAUUGUUCAGAGAGGACGCCCACAUUUUGCCCAGCCUUUGGUUUUCGCUAAAAACUUGAUAGGAAAUACCACUACAACCAUGGGACUUUGGGUGUUUCUCAUCAUACUUUUUACAGUUUUGCCCAGAACACAUGCUUCAACAACUGGCGUCCCCAGAACGACAACAGAUUCUUCCACAUCAAGAAGAGAUUCUGUCACAUCAAUCACAGCAAUCCCAAAAACAACUACACCUACGCCCAUUACAACCACAGCUACUCAAACAAUGACAACCGCAUUACUGACAAAAACUACAACCGUAGCUCCUCAUAGAAGAAGCACAACCUCAGAUUUUACUACAACAACCACCGCCCCUAACACUAAAACGACUACACACGCAAAUACUGAGCAACCAACAACUACAAAGCUAAUCUCUCAACACAUGGAAACUACUCCACUGCCCACUGAACAGCCUAGAUAUGUGGUUGUAAUGGCUGUACAAGUCACCGCAACAACAGAGCUAACUGAAUCAGAGAUCAGCGAUCAGAUGUUGAAGCAGCUGCAUGAGGAGCUGAUCCGAAGAGGGUUGCAAGGGGACUUUACACUGCGAUUAAGAGCUGUUCAGAAAUAAGAUUCCGGUGGAGGAACAGGAAAAUGGAGAGAAAACACAGACAGCCUAGUUAUCUGUUAAAUUACAGAGCGUCAGACACAUCAGACACACAGUAUUGUAGAAGGAGGAGGGGCUAGAUGUUACCUGCAUUUCAUGGACAAACGUAACCAAUUGAACUAAAUCUGCCGUUGAGGUCAACCUCCUGUCUGUCUAGGUGAGUGACAGCACAUAAGCCGCACAGAACCAAAUAAGUAACCGUACAGAAUGACUGAGGCAAGAAAGAAUCAGCUAUACUAGUGUCUUUCGUUUAAAACAUUGUGUAAGCUCUCACAGGACACUGGUUCUCCUUGGCUCUGAGUAAUAGUCCUGUGACGGUUUGAAAUGACUGGCCAGCUCUCAUAUGUUCACAUAGAACUGAUGAGCCACUAGGGCUUCACAGAAAAGAAACAGAUGUGGCUUUCAAUUAUCUCUAUUCUACCUGAAGCUAUGGCUUCUCGCAAAAGAUUUCUGUCUGGAUUUGUACCCAGUGCCAGUGUCCACUCCAUGUAGCCACAGUUUCUACAUGGCCUGUAUUAAGAGACACCUAGGCACUGCGAGUGAGGUGAGAUCUGUCACUCAAUCAAACUUGAGUCCCAAUGAUAAGCAUCUUAUCUACUGUACUCUUCCAUUCAGUUCCAUUGUCUUAACAUAAUGUGACGUUUUUUCUCAGGACACAAACACUGAGUCCACAUACCAGCAAAGUCAUAGUACUCAAUAAAAUGUUUUGUU